UUAGAUUAGAUACCUCCAGGGUAGGUGACAACCAGCAGGACCAGCUCCUCCAGUGUGUUGUGUAUGGUUAGGUUAGGGUUAGAUUAGAUUAGAUACCUCCAGGGUAGGUCACAGCCAGCAGGACCAGCUCCUCCAGUGUGUUGUGUAUGGUUAGGGUUAGAUUAGAUUAGAUACCUCCAGGGUAGGUCACAGCCAGCAGGACCAGCUCCUCCAGUGUGUUGUGUAUGGUUAGGUUAGGGUUAGAUUAGAUACCUCCAGGGUAGGUGACAACCAGCAGGACCAGCUCCUCCAGUGUGUUGUGUAUGGUUAGGUUAGGGUUAGAUUAGAUACCUCCAGGGUAGGUGACAGCCAGCAGGACCAGCUCCUCCAGUGUGUUGUGUAUGGUUAGGGUUAGAUUAGAUUAGAUACCUCCAGGGUAGGUGACAGCCAGCAGGACCAGCUCCUCCAGUGUGUUGUGUGUGGUUAGGUUAGGGUUAGAUUAGAUUAGAUACCUCCAGGGUAGGUGACAACCAGCAGGACCAGCUCCUCCAGUGUGUUGUGUAUGGUUAGGUUAGGGUUAGAUUAGAUACCUCCAGGGUAGGUGACAGCCAGCAGGACCAGCUCCUCCAGUGUGUUGUGUAUGGUUAGGUUAGGGUUAGAUUAGAUUUGAUACCUCCAGGGUAGGUGACAACCAGCAGGACCAGCUCCUCCAGUGUGUUGUGUAUAGUUAGGUUAGGGUUAGAUUAGAUACCUCCAGGGUAGGUGACAGCCAGCAGGACCAGCUCCUCCAGUGUGUUGUGUAUGGUUAGGUUAGGGUUAGAUUAGAUACCUCCAGGGUAGGUGACAGCCAGCAGGACCAGCUCCUCCAGUGUGUUGUGUAUGGUUAGGUUAGGGUUAGAUUAGAUACCUCCAUGGUAGGUGACAGCCAGCAGGACCAGCUCCCCCAGUGUGUUGUGUAUGGUUAGGUUAGGGUUAGAUUAGAUACCUCCAUGGUAGGUGACAGCCAGCAGGACCAGCUCCCCCAGUGUGUUGUGUAUGGUUAGGUUAGGGUUAGAUUAGAUACCUCCAUGGUAGGUGACAGCCAGCAGGACCAGCUCCCCCAGUGUGUUGUGUAUGGUUAGGUUAGGGUUAGAUUAGAUACCUCCACGGUAGGUGACAGCCAGCAGGACCAGCUCCCCCAGUGUGUUGUGUAUGGUUAGGUUAGGGUUAGAUUAGAUACCUCCUAGGUAGGUGACAACCAGCAGGACCAGCUCCUCCAGUGUGUUGUGUAUGGUUAGGUUAGGGUUAGAUUAGAUUAGAUACCUCCAGGGUAGGUGACAACCAGCAGGACCAGCUCCUCCAGUGUGUUGUGUAUGGUAAGGUUAGGGUUAGAUUAGAUACCUCCAGGGUAGGUGACAACCAGCAGGACCAGCUCCUCCAGUGUGUUGUGUAUGGUUAGGUUAGGGUUAGAUUAGAUACCUCCAUGGUAGGUGACAGCCAGCAGGACCAGCUCCCCCAGUGUGUUGUGUAUGGUUAGGUUAGGGUUAGAUUAGAUACCUCCACGGUAGGUGACAGCCAGCAGGACCAGCUCCUCCAGUGUGUUGUGUAUGGUUAGGUUAGGGUUAGAUUAGAUACCUCCACGGUAGGUCACAGCCAGCAGGACCAGCUCCUCCAGUGUGUUGUGUAUGGUUAGGUUAGGGUUAGAUUAGAUACCUCCAGGGUAGGUCACAGCCAGCAGGACCAGCUCCUCCAGUGUGUUGUGUAUGGUUAGGUUAGGGUUAGAUUAGAUACCUCCUAGGUAGGUGACAGCCAGCAGGACCAGCUCCUCCAGUGUGUUGUGUAUGGUUAGGGUUAGAUUAGAUUAGAUACCUCCAGGGUAGGUCACAGCCAGCAGGACCAGCUCCUCCAGUGUGUUGUGUAUGGUUAGGUUAGGGUUAGAUUAGAUUAGAUACCUCCAGGGUAGGUGACAGCCAGCAGGACCAGCUCCUCCAGUGUGUUGUGUAUGGUUAGGUUAGGGUUAGAUUAGAUACCUCCACGGUAGGUGACAACCAGCAGGACCAGCUCCCCCAGUGUGUUGUGUAUGGUUAGGUUAGGGUUAGAUUAGAUACCUCCACGGUAGGUGACAACCAGCAGGACCAGCUCCUCCAGUGUGUUGUGUAUGGUUAGGGUUAGAUUAGAUUAGAUACCUCCAGGGUAGGUCACAGUCAGCAGAGCCAGCUCCUCCAGUGUGUUGUGUAUGGUUAGGUUAGGGUUAGAUUAGAUACCUCCAGGGUAGGUCACAGUCAGCAGGACCAGCUCCUCCAGUGUGUUGUGUUGUAUUAGGUGUGGUUAGGUUAGGGUUAGAUUAGAUACCUCCAGGGUAGGUGACAGCCAGCAGGACCAGCUCCUCCAGUGUGUUGUGUAUGGUUAGGUUAGGGUUAGAUUAGAUACCUCCACGGUAGGUGACAGCCAGCAGGACCAGCUCCUCCAGUGUGUUGUGUAUAGUUAGGUUAGGGUUAGAUUAGAUACCUCCAGGGUAGGUGACAGCCAGCAGGACCAGCUCCUCCAGUGUGUUGUGUAUAGUUAGGUUAGGGUUAGAUUAGAUACCUCCACAGUAGGUGACAGCCAGCAGGACCAGCUCCUCCAGUGUGUUGUGUAUGGUUAGGUUAGGGUUAGAUUAGUUACCUCCACGGUAGGUGACAGCCAGCAGGACCAGCUCCUCCAGUGUGUUGUGUAUAGUUAGGUUAGGGUUAGAUUAGAUACCUCCAGGGUAGGUGACAGCCAGCAGGACCAGCUCCUCCAGUGUGUUGUGUAUGGUUAGGUUAGGGUUAGAUUAGAUACCUCCAGGGUAGGUGACAGCCAGCAGGACCAGCUCCUCCAGUGUGUUGUGUAUAGUUAGGUUAGGGUUAGAUUAGAUACCUCCACGGUAGGUGACAGCCAGCAGGACCAGCUCCUCCAGUGUGUUGUGUAUAGUUAGGUUAGGGUUAGAUUAGAUACCUCCACGGUAGGUGACAGCCAGCAGGACCAGCUCCUCCAGUGUGUUGUGUAUGGUUAGGGUUAGAUUAGAUUAGAUACCUCCACGGUAGGUCACAGCCAGCAGGACCAGCUCCUCCAGUGUGUUGUGUAUAGUUAGGUUAGGGUUAGAUUAGAUACCUCCAGGGUAGGUGACAGUCAGCAGGACCAGCUCCUCCAGUGUGUUGUGUAUGGUUAGGUUAGGGUUAGAUUAGAUACCUCCAGGGUAGGUGACAGCCAGCAGGACCAGCUCCUCCAGUGUGUUGUGUAUGGUUAGGUUAGGGUUAGAUUAGAUACCUCCACGGUAGGUCACAGCCAGCAGGACCAGCUCCUCCAGUGUGUUGUGUAUGGUUAGGUUAGGGUUAGAUUAGAUACCUCCACGGUAGGUCACAGCCAGCAGGACCAGCUCCUCCAGUGUGUUGUGUAUGGUUAGGUUAGGGUUAGAUUAGAUACCUCCACGGUAGGUCACAGCCAGCAGGACCAGCUCCUCCAGUGUGUUGUGUUGUAUUAGGUAUGGUAAGGUUAGGGUUAGAU